rnacentral:piRNA from 1 species
UAGAACACUGCUGCGAGGAGCGUUCUGUA